rnacentral:rRNA from 1 species
UAGGCGUAAAUGAUGCGAGUUAAGUGUGGGGGCAUCUACGAGAUGGCCCUGUGCUGUAGGGUAGCCGUUAAACUCGCUGCCUGGGGAGUACGGUCGCAAGGCUGAAACUUAAAGGAAUUGGCGGGGGAGCACCGCAACGGGAGGAGCGUGCGGUUCAAUUGGAUUCAACGCCGGACAACUCACCAGGAGCGACGGUUACAUGAAACCCAGACUAAUGAUCUUGGUUGAUUUUCAGAGAGGAGGUGCAUGGCGUCAGUGACU